rnacentral:rRNA from 1 species
ACGGAGAUACAAGGGCUUGCCCUUGUAUCUUAGUGGUGGACGGGCGAGUAACGCGUGAGGAACCUGCCCUUCAGUGGGGAAUAACGGCUGGAAACGGUCGCUAAUACCGCAUGACACAUUGGUACCGCAUGAUACUGAUGUCAAAGGAGCAAUCCGCUGAAGGAUGGCCUUGCGUCCGAUUAGCUAGUUGGUGGGGUAACGGCCUACCAAGGCGACGAUCGGUAGCCGAACUGAGAGGUUGAUCGGCCGCAUUGGGACUGAGACACGGCCCAGACUCCUACGGGAGGCAGCAGUGGGGGAUAUUGGUCAAUGGGGGAAACCCUGAACCAGCAACGCCGCGUGAGGGAAGACGGCCUUCGGGUUGUAAACCUAAGUGAUCAGGGACGAAGGAAGUGACGGUACCUGAAAAGCAAGCUCCGGCUAACUACGUGCCAGCAGCCGCGGUAAUACGUAGGGAGCGAGCGUUGUCCGGAUUUACUGGGUGUAAAGGGUGCGUAGGCGGGAAAGCAAGUCAGGUGUGAAAUACCGGGGCUCAACUCCGGGGCUGCGCUUGAAACUGUUUUUCUUGAGUGAAGUAGAGGCAGGCGGAAUUCCUAGUGUAGCGGUGGAAUGCGUAGAUAUUAGGAGGAACACCAGUGGCGAA